rnacentral:misc_RNA from 1 species
UACGGAGGAUCCGAGCGUUAUCCGGAUUUAUUGGGUUUAAAGGGUCCGUAGGCGGGACAAUAAGUCAGUGGUGAAAGUCUGCAGCUCAACUGUCGCACUGCCAUUGAUACUGUCCAUCUUGAAUUACUAUGAAGUGGUUAGAAUAUGUAGUGUAGCGGUGAAAUGCUUAGAUAUUACAUGGAAUACCAAUUGCGAAGGCAGAUCACUAAUAGUAUAUUGACGCUGAGGGACGAAAGCGUGGGUAGCGAACAGG